CCUGGUGGCUAAGAGGUUAAAGCGUCUGCCUACAAUGCAGGAGACCCGGGUUCGAUCCCUGGGUCAGGA
rnacentral:tRNA from 1 species